rnacentral:ncRNA from 1 species
GUUUGCUCACUUGUCGACAGUCCCGUGCGAACGGGCGAACAGGGAAUGCCGUACGCCUUAGAGACCAAAGGCAAGUCGGCAGCUGCUCCCGCAACUGUAUGCGGUAUGGGUCUGAUUUUUCCGCUGCAAAAGCGGGCCACUGGUGUCACCACCGGGAAGGCUGAAUCAGAACCGAUUAUCCGCGAGCCAGGAGACCUGCUGUCGUCGUCUGAC